GGAUUAGGCAUGCAAGUCGAACGGACUUUAUUUUUCCCGAGAUGCGAUUAUAUCAAGUCAAAGGUCGUUUAAAGUUAGUGGCGAACGAGGUAGUAAUACAUAGGAACUUCCCCCUAAGUCGUGAACAACUCACCGAAAGGUGAGCUAAUACACGAUAGUCUCUCCGGAGUAAAGUUUUUCGCUUAGGGAAAGGCCUGUGAAGUAUCAGCUAGUUGGCGGUGUAAAGGACCACCAAGGCUAUGACGCUUAGGGGAGCUGAGAGGCUGACCCCCACCGAUGGGACUGAGACACGGCCCAUACACCUACGGGUGGCUGCAGUCGAGAAUCUUCCGCAAUGGACGAAAGUCUGACGGAGCGACGCCGCGUGAUUGAUGAAGCUUUUCGGAGUGUAAAGAUCUUUUAUGAGGGAAGAAGUUUAUUGACGGUACCUCAUGAAUAAGGGGCUCCUAAUCUCGUGCCAGCAGCCGCGGUAAUA
rnacentral:rRNA from 1 species